UACGUAGGGUGCGAGCGUUAAUCGGAAUUACUGGGCGUAAAGCGUGCGCAGGCGGUUGUGCAAGACAGAGGUGAAAUCCCCGGGCUUAACCUGGGAACUGCCUUUGUGACUGCACGGCUAGAGUGUGUCAGAGGGGGGUAGAAUUCCACGUGUAGCAGUGAAAUGCGUAGAUAUGUGGAGGAAUACCGAUGGCGAAGGCAGCCCCCUGGGAUAACACUGACGCUCAUGCACGAAAGCGUGGGGGGCAAACAGG
rnacentral:rRNA from 1 species